UAAGGAAUAUUGCGCAAUGGGCGAAAGCCUGAUGCAGCGACGCCGCGUGGGGGAUGAAGGCCUUAGGGUCGUAAACCCCUUUCAGCAGGGACGAAAAUGACGGUACCUGCAGAAGAAGCCCCGGCCAACUACGUGCCAGCAGCCGCGGUAAGACGUAGGGGGCGAGCGUUGUCCGGAUUUAUUGGGCGUAAAGAGCUCGUAGGCGGUUGCGUAAGUCGGAUGUGAAAACUCAGGGCUCAACCCUGAGACGCCAUCCGAUACUGCGCUGACUUGAAUCCAGUAGGGGAGUGUGGAAUUCCUGGUGUAGCGGUGAAAUGCGCAGAUAUCAGGAGGAACACCCAUGGCGAAGGCAGCACUCUGGGCUGGUAUUGACGCUGAGGAGCGAAAGCAUGGGUAGCGAACAGGAUUAGAUACCCCGGUAGUCCCUGAGCGGGCUGGCAAGGCGCAU
rnacentral:rRNA from 1 species